GAUCCUGGCUCAGGAUGAACGCUAACUACAGGCUUAACACAUGCAAGUCGAGGGGAAACGACAUCGAAAGCUUGCUUUUGAUGGGCGUCGACCGGCGCACGGGUGAGUAACGCGUAUCCAACCUGCCCAUCACUUGGGAAUAACCUUGCGAAAGUAAGACUAAUGCCCAAUGACAUCCCACGAAGGCAUCCGAAUGGGAUUAAAGAUUCAUCGGUGAUGGGUGGGGAUGCGUCUGAUUAG
rnacentral:rRNA from 1 species